rnacentral:rRNA from 1 species
UACGCAGGGGGCUAGCGUUGUUCGGAAUUACUGGGCGUAAAGCGCACGUAGGCGGACUACUAAGUCAGGGGUGAAAUCCCGGGGCUCAACCCCGGAACUGCCUUUGAUACUGGUAGUCUCGAGUCCGGAAGAGGUGAGUGGAAUUCCGAGUGUAGAGGUGAAAUUCGUAGAUAUUCGGAGGAACACCAGUGGCGAAGGCGGCUCACUGGUCCGGUACUGACGCUGAGGUGCGAAAGCGUGGGGAGCAAACAGG